CUUUUCUUAAUCGUUCUGAGUUUGUCAUUUAAAAUAUACUUUGAUAUUAUGUGUGCAUCGGUUACUUAUAUUGAUUGAUCGUUUGAUUGUGGAGCUUAGGCAUGGACAUUGCUCAAUGUUAUCUGGGGAUCUCAAUUUGCACAAUUUCUCUUUAACUGCAAGGGCUAUGGGGUGAGGUCCGGUGGACAAACAAGAACCCAACACUCAAGGUCUUAUUAUUUCACCUAGAUGGACGAUACUCUCUUGGUUAUUGGGUGGUGUAAUACAUCAGUAAUAAUUUCCGGGGUCUAUGACACCAGGUAAUUCGUUUUCAUAUUCACGUGCUAAUGGUGCCAAAGGAUAUCGUCAUUGCAAAUCCUAGGUGAGUCAAAAAUACCAAAGUGAAACAUUAGUGUUCAAUAAAACAGAUUUUUUAAUCUUCUAAAGACAGUGACGUGAUGAAUUUUGAUCUUUACAAGUGCUUCGGUAUCUUUUGUUGUUAGAUGGCAGAAAGAUUAUCCUUUUUAUGGUCAUUUUGGUUGAAGGACUUCUUUUGGAUUAAUCAGAUCUUAUUAUUCUUUGUGGGGAUGUGGAAAAUCAUAUUAGUUUGGCUUUUUCAGCACGGGAAUCCGGUGGGAGCAUUGGCUGCGGCUGAGACAGGUCGGAGACCGACAUAACUUCUCGCUGAGGAAAACGCAAAGAGAAAUUCGAUUUUGAGACAAUUGAAUGCUGUAUUGUCUAUUCUUAUUCCCGCGGAUGCAAGUUGCAGGUAUUAUUUCCACUAAUUCCAUUGAAAAUCCUACCGUGUUUUGGAAUACCAAACUUUAACAAUCUUUUUUGUUUGGGUUCAUUCUUAUUUAGAAAAGUUGGUGUUUUGUUUGUAUCUAUCUUGGAGGAUAUCCACAGUAAGAUUUAUGCAAUGCAGGUCGGUCAGUACUUGAGAAAUUUGAUUAGUAUUUAACUUAAAACUCACAAUUAGGUUGCGAUUUGGGCGAUUGUUUCACAACACUAUAGCCUAUAGGGACCUUUGGUGCCACUUGAUGGGAGUCUGUCUUCGUAGAUUUUAUUUGUAAGAAUGUAGUGUAUAUGAGCCUAUUUGUGAAUGCGUUUGGAAAUUCUGUCAAAAGUUGAUUUUUAUUUAUUAUGUGCCAUCCACUAGGUUGUUAGCAAUACGUUAAAUGGCUUCUAUCAUCUUGAUGUUUAGUGUAGUCUUACUGUUCUUAGUGUUUAGAUCUUAUUGUUCUUAGACAUGUAAUAGAUAUUCAAAUGAUUUGGUAACUCAGUGACUGGAAAUAUAAGGGUCAUAAAUUCUUCUUAAAAUAUUGCACUACCAAAGAUCAUUUUUAUAGACGUUUUAUUUUGCAUGUUAGGUAGCAAGUAGAUGGUCAGGUAUUACUAUCUUUUUAAGCUCUGUGAGCUCAGAACUUCGGUUUUUUUCGUACAAAUAAUCAUUUCAUUUAUUGGGUGCAAAAUGUAGGCAAUCCUUCAUUGCACCUUUCAAUAUUAGCACGUCUGCUUACAUCUUUUCUUCCAUCGAGCAGUAACUUAUAGUCACAUGCACAAUGUAAGAAUGAAUUUUUGUAUGGAAUUGUAGGAAAGAAUAUGAUCUCAAGUACCUGUUGGAUUCUUCUAUAAAUCUUUGUUGGUCUCAAAUGAAUCCUGAAUCAUAAGAUGUAUACCAUAUGCAUUGUUAUGUUGCUUUAUUAAAAGACAGAUUCGGGUUUAUUUUUUUAUGUGUUACGUAAAAAGUUUUAUGACGAGUUUUCAGUUUCUGCAGCACAUCUGAGUCCAGAUGAGUAUUAUAUAGAUUGUUUAGGGCUUAAUUAUGCAACGAAUUAGUGCGGCUAUUUAUGGUUAUUAUGCAGGUCAAAAUCUUCAUCGAAGUUGUAGGUACAUUUUCCUAAUCAAUCUGUGUUCCUUUCAUUAAUAAACUUAUGAGUGGUUUUUGUUGAUGUCUUAAUUUACUAUGUAGUUCGCAGUAGUUGGUGAACUAAAUAUCAAUGAUCUGUUUUCCUUUCAUUAAUAAACUUAUGAGUUGUAGUUCGCAGUAGUUGGUAAACGAAAAAUCAAUGACUACCGUGGUCAAUACCAUUGGAUGUGUUUCGGGAAAGCUAAAAUCGACACAGCUUUGAAAUGUAAUAUUUGUUCCUUCCUUUAGUUAUUUUAGGUCUCUGGGAAGUGAACUGUUUCCGUAAGUGAAUUUUCAACUUUAGCAGGAGUUUUUUGAUCUAUGAUCAAUCACAUUGUAUGAUGUUCAUGGACAACAGAUUGAUAUUCAGUUAGUGACAUUACUGGAAAUUUGAGUCUAGAGAGGGUAUAAAAUGGCAAGACCAUUUAAGAUCAGAACUUAGAGACGCUUCCACUGAAAGAAGAGAUUAAUUUUGAUAGUUUUGUUUGAUAAAUGUAUAACUGGAUUUUCCAAUCCAGACCAAUUUGUUUUUAUCGCUAAGUGGGGCCAUUGAGCCGUUUAAUGAUACUAAUUGACUAUUACUAAUAACAUAGUAGUUUACAUAAAGAGAAAAAGAGAGAGUAGUAAUGACAACAAUGAAAUGAGAUAUGAAUGGAUAUAUAUAGAUUAUAAGAUCGGAGCAUACUUUAAUUUAAGCAUGAGCAUAAGCAUAGAGCCAUAUCAUCAUAUGAUGAAUAGUGGGUUUUUACACUUCCUGCGACCAUGAUUAUAAGUGGUAUCCUUGGUUAUUUUGUUUCUAAAGACUCCUUGCGAUAAUAUAAGACACCAGAUGUAGACAUGGUCGGGUUUGUAUUCUCAAAAUUAUGGAGUUCUUUCUUUUUACUUUUUCGAGUUCAAUGUUAAAUUUCUUCUGGGCAUAUUUAUAGCACUGAUGUUGUGUCAUUUAUUUACCUUUGGAAUUACUAUGCCUUUGUUUUAGGUUAGGCUACAACGCAUCUUAUCUUCUUUAACCUUCUUUAAUGUAAGCAUAAGCAUAGAGACAUAUCAAAUGACAAAUGAUAUUGGAAUCAUGUAUGAUUAAUAGAUAAAGCAAUAUAGGGAAAUAUCGCUGAAGCUUUGUCUUUUCAGAAGUCAAAUGACCAAAGCUGGCCGAUUAUCUUCUGAUUGCCCUAUCAUGCAAUCAGAUUUUGAACUGAAGGAAUUGGAGGUGUGCAUUGUUAUCAUAUCCUUUUUUCUUCUUCGUUUGGCUUAUUUUCUGUUUAGAUGAAGAAGAGAAAAUUAAACAACGGUUGUACUCAGGGAAGAGAAAAGCAUUGAAUUGUUAUCCUAACAACUAUUGAUAAUCCUACUUAGGGUAUACUGAUCAAGUAUAUAAAAUUAUGUUUAUGAAGCAUGAAAGAGAACAUAGUGAAACGAAUGAAAAUAGUGAAAAACUGCGACAUACUUGCAAGAGCUUCUGGAUAAUAUUCCAGAAGGUGUAUAUUCUUUUACUGUUUGUUCUGCUUCAGGUUGUUGAAGAUAUUUUACUAUCAAUGCAAGUUUUCAAUGCAUAUUCUGUCGACAUAUAAAACAAAACAGGGUAUAUUAACUGCUUAAAUUUGUGGAGAUAUACUAACCUGAUGUCACAUUCCAGACAGAUAGAGGGAGGUGGUCAUCUUAGACAAAUGAUAUAAUUAGUAGCCCAGUUGCAUAUAUCCGAUACUACAAGGGUUGAUGCAGUUAAAGUAAGAUAAAUUAUCCAUAAAUAUUUGCACCGACUUUAUCUAAUUUAGUUUUGUGAAUCUGCUUUUGUCCGAUCUAUUUCGACUUUAUGGGGGUGACAUAUUCUUUUUUUCCAUGGUUUAUAUCAUAAUUUCUUUAGCAUCAAAGAUUCUGGCAUCUUUGUCAUAGUGAACGAGUUCAGUUCCACCAUAAAUGUAUGUAGCAUAAUUUCUAUAUUUGGCAUAUUCGCUUAUUAGGAAACUCGGGCGCUAACCUGAUUCCCAAAACAUGUUGAAGACUGCCAGCAGGAGACAUUAGGUUAGUUGCAUCUUUCUAAGAAAUCUUACAAACAAUUCUGAUGUACAUGAAGGUUACGGUUUUGUUAAGACCAGCUGAAGGGGUUGUUGUGUAUGAAUCAAUGUAUACUAUGGGUUUCACUAAGGAGCUAAAAGAUGGCUGGAGAGGAUGAUGGAGAUUCAGAAAGGGUAAGUAUAUACUUAUAAGAUCAUAAUGUUAUGGUUAAAUGUGUGUGUAUAUAAAAAGGGUGUCAGGUACAUUCUCUUCUUGUUGUCUUAGCUCAAAUGGCAGAUAUCAUAGUUAUUCGAGUAAACCAGAACCUUACAUGCUUUAGAUACCAGUAUAUAAUGGACAUAGGUGUAGAUGUAGAAAACCUUUUAUCUCUACACAUUGUUUUCUAUCUAACAUAUACCAAUAUUGUUUUCUCUGGAGGAGAAUAUGCUGAAAGUUGAUUGCCCCUGCGUCACACUUGAAGUUGCCCUUAUAUGCUUUAGAUACCGGUAUAUUCAGACAUCAUUAAUCGUUACAGUAUUAUGAGUUGAUUCUUUUUUUACCCAUUUUCUCAGUUGUACAACAAUCUAAUGCAAU